GAUGAACGCUAGCUACAGGCUUAACACAUGCAAGUCGAGGGACCGGCGCACGGGUGAGUAACACGUAUCCAACCUGCCCUUUACUCGGGGAUAGCCUUUCGCAAGAAAGAUUACUACCCGAUAUCAAGGAUGGGGAUGCGUUCCAUUAGGUUGUUGGUGAGGUAACGGCUCACCAAGCAUUCGAUGGAUAGGGGUUCUGAGAGGAAGGUCCCCCGCAUUGGAACUGGGACCCGGUCCAAACUCGUAGGGGAGGCAGGAGUGAGGAAUAUAGGGCAAUGGGCCCUAGCCUGAACCAGCCAAGUAGCGGGAAGGAUGAAGGGUUAUGGGUCGUAAACUUCUGUGAUAUAAGAAUCGGUAUUAUAUGAAUAAGGAUCGGCUAACUCCGUGCCAGCAGCCGCGGUAAUAC
rnacentral:rRNA from 1 species